GUUUACCGCACGUUGAAGUUUACGAUCAUUUUCAUAUAAUGAAUUUGUUAAAACAAUAAUGCAAUAGUCAAUUAGGGACUAUAUAAUGUAGAGUUUAUUUUGCUUACUGUUUUUGCAACAUGAAAAUUCCAAGAUAGAUCACUCGAUAAAUGGAGUCCAAGACACUUAGCCGAGUCCGUAUACGGGAGUGUCACACCAUCAAUGAUGAUAGGGGAAGAUUUACUUCUAAGCCAUUCUCUCUGGCCCAAUCAGCAACAGCUUGGGCAUCAACAUUUAUCAGCCUUAUUGCUUCAUGGAGCUGAUACGAAUAGAAAU